UCGUCCUUUCCAGACAUUGUGACCUGAAGUGUGUGUGCGUGUGUUUUCUUCAAAAGACUUCAUUUAUAUCAAUCCCUUUAAGUGUGAUGCGAUCAUAUUUUUGGACUAUCUGGCACAGGUUUUACUCACUGAAGAAUGAUAUGCUGUGAAGAAAUUAUUUUCUGUCUUUGGGUGCCUGGACUGCAUUCUGUGUUGACUUUUAAAUAUUGUUCGGAAUCUCUCCCAAGAGUCUGCUUUCCAAGAUGUUUUUGCUUUUAAGAGUUCAAGGAUACAAUGGUGUGAGCUUCCCUUUUUUUUUUUUUUUUUUUUUUUUCGUACUACCAACAUCAAAUGAGAUGCUGCUAAGGGCCAAAGAGAGAAUCCAAAAGGUGUUGCAGAAGAUAAAUUUAGGCUGAAGGCAUGUGGCAGCAAGGUGCGUAGAGAAGAUGGGGAGCAAGCAACAGAGAAUGGAAUAUCUGGUGCCAACCAUGCACCAGUGUAUGGAAUUCAUGAAUUCAAUCUGCAAGAAAUACUAUUAUCUACGGCAUAUUGGCUCAUGACUCAGCAGCCAGGAAGAAAAAUUAGGAUCUCAAAGCCCAGUUUCCACCAAGCAGUACUGUAUGGCACUCAAUUUUGGGGUGUUUGUGUUGUCAGAAGUUGUGCUGGGUUCUGAAAUAACAAAUACAUUCUGUACCACUUUUCAGCCCGUUUGGAUUAGGUUACCAAGCCCAAUGAUAGGGAACCUAAAGGGUGGAUGGAGCAAGGCACCCAUCAGUUCAGUGAUUGUUUCUUUUACAAUGUUUUUUUUUUUGUCCCGUCCACCCGAGAGCUGCCCGGUGGACGGGACACGUUCCACACCGACGGAGCAGAGCGGUCCGGCGGCCCCACCGAGGCGCCCCGACAACUGGCAACCCGGUGGGGGGGGCUGCAGGGACCCAAUGCCAGCCCCCCAGCCAAUCCCUGCCUCGCCCCACCGGGUCCCCGACUGGCAGUCAUUGGCCCUACCCUGUGUAUCAGUGCCCCCCGGAGUGGUGUGGUGCAUUCAACUCUGGAGAGGCCCGGUGAGCCUUGGGAGAAAACCCUGAUACUCCAGCUUUGCCUUCCCUGUUCUCUGUGCUUGGGACCACCUGCCUUUUGCCUGCACUACAGCUCAGUGGAUCCUCACAACAGAUCCAGAGGCAAAAGUCGAGAUGAAUUCAUAUUUUUCUCCAUUUUGAAUUUCAGGCAUUACUGUACAUAUCUUGUGUAGUAAUUUUUUCAAGUGAGUUACAAACUGGCGGCACGGUGGAUGACUGUUUAGCACAUCAGCCUCACAGUUCUGAGGACCGGGGUUCGAAUCCCAGCCUCGCCUGUGUGGAGUUUGCAUGUUCUCUUCUUACCUGCGUAGGUUUUCUCCGGGCACUCCGGUUUCCUCCCACAUCCCAAAAACAUGCAUGGUAGGUUGAUUGAAGACUCUAAGUAGCCCAUAGGUGUGAAUGUGAGUGCGAGUGGUUGUUUGUUUCUAUGUGCCCUGCGAUUGGCUGGCGACCAGUUCAGGGUGUACCCCAACCUCCUGCCCGAACAUAGCUGGGAUAGGCUCCAGCAUGCCCAGGACCCUUGUGAGGAUAAGCGGUACAGAAAAUGGAUGGUUGGAUGGAUUGAGUUACAAACUACUGCUGGCAUCGCAUCAGUGUAUUACUAUAAUUAGUGAGUACAUUUAUAUACCAAAUGGGGAUUUUCAUGAGAUAGACCUUUACUAUCACAUUUGUUUAUCACAUUAAGCCUUUGUCUGCCAGUUCUCUGAGACACAUUUUACAUAAAACAUCUGUCUGAAAGAAGGUAAAUUACCAAUGAGCUGACCUUUGCUGCUGUCCUAAAAAAAAAAACACACUGAUUGGUUGAAAUAUGGCCUAACUCAGACAAACUCAAGUUUCAUUUUUAUAGUGCAGAUUCAUGACAAAAAAUAUCUCCAGUCACUUUAUGGUGGAGCAUGGGUUGCCAACACCUGGGGCGAAUUAAGAGACAUCAUGCCUGCCUACGGCUAUGACCGACAGGGACUGUUCAAUAGGCUGGGAAGGGAGGCGCCAACGCAACAAACCAGUUAAGAGCAGGAGGACUCUGUCAAGGCACCUAUUGUAUAUCUGAAAUUAAGGACCGUGCCUCUCACACGCUGAGAAGGAUGAGAACCAGAAUCAACAGUGCUUUGCUUGAGCAACCACUUUGGCAACAGAGGCAAGGCAACUUGUCUUCAAGGGAAAAAAACAACAACCUGGAACACCAGCAGAUGCUGCAUUCAAGAAUUAAAGAGAUACUGGUGAAGGAAGCAUCUCGCAUCUUGAUGCAUCAACUUAGGUUAGAGUGCUACCUCACUAACCCACCGGGCAGGCGCUUCAAUCCAAAUGAGGAAGCAGCCAAAGACAUUUGCAGCUGGGCUUAAUGGAGGGAAGCGGUCCAAAGUCUCAGACUGAAUAAAAAUGAGUGUGCUUGGGUCAGACACUGUGCUGCUUUCUUAAAUGCUAAGACAGAUGGCAGUGCUGGAUAUGAUCGUCUCUGGCAGGAUUGGAGGAAGAAGACUAACGACAUGACCAAGUAAAAGGGCAAGCUCUAACCGACACUCCCUUCUGUGCGGUUGACCGCGUUUCCAAUAUUCUUCAUGAUCACUGAUGCAAGGAAAGUCAUCAAACCACAGCAGGCAGGGCCUCAUUGCAUGCCGUGCUAACCCAGGUCGGGGUCAGACGCUAACGCUUGGAUACUUCAAUUAUCCAUCCAGCAAGUUACGAGAAGGCAAAUCUCUGAUUUGUGUGUGCAAAUAAAUCUAAUAGAUUUUUUUUUUUUGCAAAAGAAAAAGAGAAU